CAUACAAGCAGGCUCCUGCAGCAGCAGAAGAAGAGAUGGCUGUGCUUCCUGUUAAUCUAUCUUCCCACGAUGAUGAUGAUGAUGCUAGCCCAAAGGUGACAUACAAGCAGGCUCCUGCAGCAGCAGAAGAAGAGAUGGCUGUGCUUCCUGUUAAUCUAUCUUCCCACGAUGAUGAUGAUGAUGCUAGCCCAAAGGAAUUUACUGUCAGAGGAUCAUCCCUGGUGGAUUAUUCCGACAGUGAUGAAAGCAAUGAGAAUUGUUUAAAUGACCAGCCAUUGGGUCCACACUGUGAUGAAGUUGUUCCAAAGUUGAGAAGGACAAAAAGCAUUCUGAUGAAAACAGUUCCAGAUUUUUCUGAUGAUCUCUACGAUUCAAGUGAUGACGGUACAGAGGGCCCUUCAACUCAGUCCAAGUCUGAGAUGGCUUCACAAAGGAUGGAGACAUUACAAGAUUUUUUGUCAACCUCUUAGUGAUUCAAAUGAGAGUAUUGUGGAAGAAACCGAUGAUGCGGAUUCCAUAAAGGACCAUUCCGAUGUGCAAUCAGACAUUGAAGUUGUUCCAAAGCUGAGAAGGACAAAAAGCAUUCAGUUGCUAGCAUUACAGAGGCACAGGAGUCAGAAGAUGAGGACAGUAUGAUGUCACUGCCAGCCAGCACCUCUGCAGCGUCUGCCCAAAACCAGAGAAGUUCUGCAAAAACUAGAGAAGCCAGGAUGGCAGAAGCCCAGGAAUCAGAAGAUGAGGCAAGCACCGCAUCACUGCAAAAAAGCAUCCCUACAGCGUCUGCCCAAAACCAUAGGAGGAAGUUUGCAAAAAAGAGAAGUAAACAAACUGCUGUUAAAAGAAACUGGACACCAGAAGAAUGUGCUGCAGUACGACGACAUUUAAAGAAAUUCAUUGUGAUGGCGCAAGUCCCAGGGAAGGAGGACUGUCAGCGCUGCAUCACUGCAGAACCUCAAGCUCUGAAGAGCCGAGACUGGAGGGCAGUGAAAUACUUUAUUAAAAAUCGAAUUUCUUCUCUGCGAAGAAAAAUAGAGUGAAAGUGUUUCACUGAACAAGGUAAAAGAUAGGCUAGUAGGAGGAAGUUCUAUAAUAUUUGACAUAGCCCUACUGGAAGCAAAACAAAGCUCAACAAUGUUUUUAUAUUCUCUGAAGUCUCACACAUAUAAAAUAGAUUCUUGCAUUAUGACAUAAACUGAGCUCAGGUGCACCAAUGUCCCACUCAGUCUGGCUGUAUUUAUUCCUGAAAUGAUUUAGGGAAUGUGUUACAGUAGUCAUAAAUUUAACCACUUUAUGUUAAAAUAUGUUUAUAUCAUAAUCUACUUCAUAUAGCUGAGACUGAAGAGGAUCUGAAAACAUGUUUGUGCUCUGUUUUACCUCCGGUAAGGACGUCUCAAAUACUAAAGCACGUCAAAGUCUCCAAUGUUAUCAUGUUUUUAUGUUAUUAUGUUGUGUUUUUAUCAACACAAGGAGCUGUUUUCCUGUUACCAAAGCUCAUUGUAAUACUCAGCACUUGAUUUGCAGCAUUAACAGUUUUCUGCAUACAUGUUAUCAGUUAUUACAUUAUGAGAAAAUUAUAACAUAAACUAAGCAUGCAGCAAUUUUUUUUGUACUUUUUUCU